UGAUUAUUUGAGCUCUAGUUUUGAGCCCUCUAUAGCUGAUGGUGAUUUAAAAGCCACCAAGAAGCUUUCAAGUUCGCUUCACUCUUCCCUGUCUGAAAAUGAUUUACAAAGGAGUGAGGAUAAUCAAAGUAACAAGAGUUCAGUAAUAGAGGCCAAUAUGUUUGUUGAAUUUGGCCAUAAACCUAAGCGUCCCACUGUUUGGGGAUGGGCAAUUGCAAAGAAGAAGCUUUCUAUGGAACCUGUUCAUUUUCCUUCUAAAGAAGAGUAAGUGAUGUUCCCUUGAUCUGUAUAAAGAAGUUUUGCAUACAUUUUCCUGGAAAAACAAAAGAAGACACUGCAUGGGCAUUGUCAAGCUCUUCAGAAUGAUGUGUCAAGACUAGAGGAAGAGUUGCAUAGGGAAAGAGAUAAGAGGACAGCUCUGGAAGCUGGACUUACCCCCUCUCAAGGAACUGUAACUCUCCCAAAUACGGUUGAUGAAAAGAUAAAGGCAGAUAUUAAGCACAUAGCUCAAGUAGAGGCAGACAUAAACAAUUUGAACAAAAAGGUUGAUGAAUUGUGGAUGCAGCUGAAUCAA